rnacentral:rRNA from 1 species
UACGGAGGGGGCUAGCGUUGUUCGGAAUUACUGGGCGUAAAGCGCACGUAGGCGGCUUUGUAAGUUAGAGGUGAAAGCCCAGGGCUCAACCCUGGAAUUGCCUUUAAGACUGCAUCGCUAGAAUCGUGGAGAGGUGAGUGGAAUUCCGAGUGUAGAGGUGAAAUUCGUAGAUAUUCGGAAGAACACCAGUGGCGAAGGCGACUCACUGGACACGUAUUGACGCUGAGGUGCGAAAGCGUGGGGAGCAAACAGG